rnacentral:ncRNA from 1 species
AAUGAACAAAGGCAAAUCCAUCGAAAGGUGGAGACGCAAAGCCACGGGUCUAAGCCAUGAGUCACGUUUCAUGGGACGAUAGCCGGGUUACCUUU